AAUGGUUGACAGCUAAUUAACUAGAAAACUACUCAUCAAUUUCUGACAAUGUGGAUUGUGACAUGUUAAAGUUCUUGUUUAAAUGCGUAAAUAGAUAUAGAUGAUGGGGUCAUGAAGUUCAGAUCUAGACCUACACGUUCAGUUUGUCAGCUCAGGCAGGAGUUUGGUUUGAAGUAUGAAUGUGAAUUUUGGCACCUUCUUUUAAAUAUAGAGGAAUUUUAUGAAAUUUAGGUCAGUAGCUGAACUUUUACAGUGCUCUGUAGGUGCAUGGAUCUGUCUGACAGCUUUAUUUCCAUCUCGGAAUAAAGGCCUGAAGACUUGUCUGGCAACUCCAGUGAGAUUUUCACAUCUCCAUGCAUGAAAUCAGACAAUGAAUGGAAAGGUCAGAACAACAGAGUCUCCUGUCCAGAAUUUUGAAGAUCUUGUGAAAGCUAGGAGUUGUGUGAGCCAAGUAGUAAUGCAAUUCAGACAUCAUGGACUGAAUAUGAAGACUUCUAUGUCUAAAAGCCUGAACCCCUUGAGGAGUGGUGCUUCUCAAACCACAAAGGAAGAAUUGUUAAUAAUGGAGGUGGAUUUUUCUGAAGGGGCACAUAUCUCAGGUCUCUUGUAAGAUCAGUUGCUGUGUUGCAGCAUGAAGCUGCAACAAGAACAAGAAGCAUGGUGAAUAGACAUCGCUCAAUUUCAAUGUCCUUCAUAGAGUAAAUUAUUUCAGUCAAAUCCCCACUUGCAAAAGUCCUCCUCUUUGACUACCAUCUGACUGGAUGGAAAGGAAAACAUGGUUACUGUAGUUUGUGAUGCAUAAAUGAAGAACAUAUUUGUGUUAAAAAUUAAGGUGUUUAUACCACACUGUAACAUUACUCUAGUUUUAAAGAUUUAAUGAAAUCCAUUCUACAAGGUUUCACUGCAAUAAAAAAAAAAAAGAUGUGAGAUCUUGCACUCUGGAAGGUAUUUCCUGUGGUGGACCUUCUGCUAUGUCUUCAACUGGUUUUUAAAAUAUUUGUCAUACUGCAAGCUUUGCAGGUAUGAGGGCUUUUAUUCAUAACAGAGUAAAAUUAAGUGAUUAAAAUUCACACUUCUUAAAAAGGGGAGAAAAAAAAAACAAAACAAAACACAUGCCUAAUUAAGAAAUGAUUAAUCUGUGUGGAUUAAAGCUGAUCCCUUGGAGGUGUAAGUAGCAGACAUUUGAGUAGGAGACAGAGAAAGAAUUGAGCAGGAAAUCAAAUUGUUCAGGACAAUCUCAGAUGUGGGGAACACUGGAGAAGCUAGCAUCUAGCUGGUAGGUUGAUGGCACAAUGGAAGAAAAAUGAUUGGACUGUACAAGGUUAAGUGAAAAAACAAAACAAAACAAAAAGCAUAAAUAAAAACAUGGUUGUGCUAGACUGCUUGUGAAGUUCUUCCAGCUCAAACCUUCCCAGAUGAAAAUUCUGAACUCUGUGGCCUCAUGAUGGAAGAAAACAGCUUUGCACAAGUUUGCAUUCUCUUUGUGUGGAAAUCAUUGUUUUACCCCUAUUUUGAUGUCAAACACCAAAAUGAAGGUAAUAUCAUGCUAAGAAGAUUAUUGUUAUGGAGGAAAGAUUAGAUAAAGAAAAAAAAAAUCACAAAUGAAGAAGCUUUUAAUAUUUGAGCAGUUUCCUGCAUUCAACCAUUUUAUGAUGGAAAAAUGUGUUAGUUGAAUCUGCAU